GACGAACCGUGCGAACGUUGUUCGGAAUCACUGGGCUUAAAGGGUGCGUAGGCGGGCCGCAAAGUCAGGGGUGAAAUCCUCCAGCUUAACUGGAGAAGUGCCUUUGAUACUGGCGGCCUUGAGGAAGGUAGGGGCAUGCGGAACUGAUGGUGGAGCGGUGAAAUGUGUUGAUAUCAUCAGGAACUCCGGUGGCGAAAGCGGCGUGCUGGACCUUUUCUGACGCUGAUGCACGAAAGCCAGGGGAGCAAACGGG
rnacentral:rRNA from 1 species